UUCUAGUAAAUUAUUGAACCUGAGAGGGAUUGUGGGAACACCCAGAUUUGUAGCCAGCUGGUCAGAAAUGCUGGUGGUCUGAGACCCCACCUUGUGGUUGGCAUUUGAAGUGAAACAGUCUUGUAGGGGACCGUGCCCUUUAACGUGUGGAGUCUCCACUAACGCCGGGUAUUUGUAUUUGCAUCUGGGGAAUCAUAUUACAGUACACCAGUUGGUGUCAGAACAGUUGGUAUCAGAAGAGUCAGCCUCGUCCAGAGUCACAGAAGGGCUGCCAGCAGCAACAUACCUACUAGUCUAUUUCCAGCAAGAGAGAUAGAAGAGCCUUUCCCCAAAAUAUGGAAUUGAUGACCAUUCCUUCAGUCUUAUUGUGCCCGCUUAUGUCAUCCUAGACCUAAGACAAUCACCAGGAGAAUGUCACAUAAUGAUUGGUUUAAGCCCAGAUUCUUAAACCAAGCACAGGGGAUUAUUGUGAUUGGCUAAUCAAUCUUCCCAUCCUGCCCACAAGAACCUAGAAAUGGGGUCAUUGACCCUUGGCCCAUGUUAGCUAUUUUGAGGAGUGGUAAAUAAUUAAACAAAGCUGACGUUCUGUUAGAAAGGGAACUGGGGGCCAGCUGUGGUGGCUCA
rnacentral:lncRNA from 1 species